AACAAAACAGAGAUCAGGAGUGUAGCUAUGGGAGGGAGUUCAAAAUAAAGGCAUUGCUCCUCCAGAGAUUACAGCUGUAUCAUAUCUAAGAAGAACAAUGUCUACUACCACAAACAAUUUUGUCUAGAAUCUUCCCCUCAGCUGGGCGCAGGAAAAUCUAUUCAACUUGAACAAGACUCACAUAAAAGUCCUCAGGGGGAAGUUCAUUGCAACCAACUAGAACCCAACUUGAAACUGUCACCUAGAGGACCUUUUCAUCAGCUUCCCCAG
rnacentral:lncRNA from 11 species